AGUGAACGCUGGCGGCGUGCUUAACACAUGCAAGUCGAACGAGAACGGAUUAUAGCUUGCUAUAAUUGUCAGCUAAGUGGCGCACGGGUGAGUAAUGUAUAGGUAAUAUGCCUCUUACUAAGGGAUAACAAAUGGAAACGUUUGCUAAUACCUUAUACUCCUUAUUAACAGAAGUUAAUAAGGGAAAGAUUUAUUGGUAAGAGAUUAGCCUGUAUUGUAUCAGUUAGUUGGUGGGGUAAUGGCUUACCAAGACUAUGACACAUAACUGGUUUGAGAGGAUGAUCAGUCACACUGGAACUGAGACACGGUCCAGACUCCUACGGGAGGCAGCAGUGGGGAAUAUUGCACAAUGGACGAAAGUCUGAUGCAGCAACGCCGCGUGGAGGAUGACACAUUUCGGUGCGUAAACUCCUUUUAUAUGAGAAGAUAAUGACGGUAUUAUAUGAAUAAGCACCGGCUAACUCCGUGCCAGCAGCCGCGGUAAUACGGGGGGUGCAAGCGUUACUCGGAAUCACUGGGCGUAAAGAGCAUGUAGGCGGAUUAAUAAGUUUGAAGUGAAAUCCUAUAGCUUAACUAUAGAACUGCUUUGAAAACUGUUAAUCUAGAAUGUGGGAGAGGUAGAUGGAAUUUCUGGUGUAGGGGUAAAAUCCGUAGAGAUCAGAAGGAAUACCGAUUGCGAAGGCGAUCUACUGGAACAUUAUUGACGCUGAGAUGCGAAAGCGUGGGGAGCAAACAGGAUUAGAUACCCUGGUAGUCCACGCCCUAAACGAUGUACACUAGUUGUUGUGAGACUUGAUCUUGCAGUAAUGCAGUUAACACAUUAAGUGUACCGCCUGGGAGUACGGUCGCAAGGCUAAAACUCAA
rnacentral:rRNA from 1 species